CUAAUACAUGCAAACAAGUCCCGACCAGCGAUGGGGAGGACGCUUUUAUUGGAUCAAAACCUUUCGCCCGGCUUGCCCGGGCGUCAGCUUGAUGACUCUAGAUAACACCACAGAUCGCACGGUCACAGUACCGGUGACAUAUCCUUCAAAUGUCUGACUUAUCAGCUGUCGAUGGUAGACUCUGUGUCUACCAUGGCGCUCACGGGUGACGGGGAAUCAGGGUUCGAUUCCGGAGAGGGAGCCUGAGAAACGGCUACCACAUCCAAGGAAGGCAGCAGACACG
rnacentral:rRNA from 1 species